CGGUGCUAUUCUACUCUGUACUUUUUUGGCUUUCUUUACUAUUUUGAUCUAGGCGUCGCUGGAAGGUCUCAUGAAGACGAAGCGCGCGUAUUGUGUAUAGGACUGGUAAUUUUGAUUGAAAUUAGCAUGUCAAAUGUUUUAUUGUAUUUUUUAUUUGUUUAUUUUUGUGUGUUUUAUUUUUUUAAUGUUCUUGCAUAUAAUUGUACUAUAAUCCUC
rnacentral:lncRNA from 1 species